GGAUACCAGAGUCUGAGCAGGAAGAGAGAGGAUCCAGCAUCUGUGGUGACCUACUACUUUCUGGGAACAGUCCUGGGCUCUCUAUCUGGCUUUCACCCAAAGCAACACGGAGGUGUGUACCAUGCCUACAUGCAGGCCACAGAACAUUGACUUCAUUUAUGUUCACCAAAGAAGAUGUGAGACAAUUUCAAAUCUGAGAAGAAAUAGGGGGAUGCACGCUGAUCUCACCAGCCACCUCUGUUCAUCCGAAUGUGCCCACUGGGAACUCUGCCCCCUGCCGGGUGGCGGAGCUUCAGUGCCAGGGAAACUUUAUGACACAACAGAAUGGGCUCCUCCUUCAUAGUCAGGAC
rnacentral:lncRNA from 1 species